GUUCUGGUAGUUGAAAAUAUCAAUAACGGCUUUUCGAGCCGUAGUCCCUCGGGUAGUGGCCGAGCAGGAAAU
rnacentral:tRNA from 1 species